rnacentral:rRNA from 1 species
UACGAAGGGUGCAAGCGUUAAUCGGAAUUACUGGGCGUAAAGCGCGCGUAGGUGGUUCAGCAAGUUGGAUGUGAAAUCCCCGGGCUCAACCUGGGAACUGCAUUCAAAACUGACAAGCUAGAGUAUGGUAGAGGGUGGUGGAAUUUCCUGUGUAGCGGUGAAAUGCGUAGAUAUCGGGAGGAACAUCAGUGGCGAAGGCGACCGCCUGGCCCAACACUGACGCUGAGGUGCGAAAGCGUGGGUAGCAAACAGGAUUAGAUACCCGUGUAGU